GCCGAAGUGGUGGAAUUGGUAGACACGCUACGUUGAGGGCGUAGUGGGCGUCAGCCCGUAGGAGUUCGAGUCUCCUCUUCGGCACCA
rnacentral:tRNA from 1 species